UGCCUAUUCCUUGAAAAG
rnacentral:snRNA from 1 species